rnacentral:rRNA from 1 species
AGCCGGGAGCUAAGGCGAGGCCGAAAGGCGUAGUCGAUGCACAUACGGUUGAAAUUCCGUAGCCACCUUAUCGAUAAAAGCUGACACAUAGAGAUAGCCGAACCCGGGCGUUGGUUGACCCGGGCGAAAGGGACCGAACUACAGUAGGGAAGUCGGCGAUGCUCUGUGGCGAGAAAAGGCGAAGAUAGGGUGCCCGUACCGCAAACCGACACAGGUAGAUGAGGAGAGAAUCCUAAGGCCAACGGGAGAAAGGUUGUUAAGGAACUCGGCAAAAUUGCCCCGUAACUUCGGGAGAAGGGGCGCCCUCGAAAGAGGGCCGCAGUGAAAAGGCCCAAGCGACUGUUUACCAAAAACACAGGUCUCUGCUAAAUCGAAAGAUGACGUAUAGGGGCUGACGCCUGCCCGGUGCUGGAAGGUUAAGAGGAGGACUUAGCGCAAGCGAAGGUCUGAAUUUAAGCCCCAGUAAACGGCGGCCGUAACUAUAACGGUCCUAAGGUAGCGAAAUUCCUUGUCAGGUAAGUUCUGACCCGCACGAAUGGCGUAACGAUUUGGGCACUGUCUCAACAGCCUACCCGGCGAAAUUGUAGUACCGGUGAAGAUGCCGGUUACCCGCAACUAGACGGAAAGACCCCAUGGAGCUUUACUGCAGCUUAAUACUGAGAUUCGGUAAUUCAUGUACAGGAUAGGUGGGAGACUUAGAAACAGGGUCGUCAGGCACUGCGGAGUCACCCUUGGGAUACCACCCUUGGAUUGCUGGGUUUCUAACCUGCGGCCAUGAAUCUGGUCGGGGGACACUGUUAGGCGGGCAGUUUGACUGGGGCGGUCGCCUCCUAAAAAGUAGCGGAGGCGCUCAAAGCUUGGCUCAGCAUGGAUGGAAAUCAUGCAAUGAGUGUAAACGUAUAAGCCAAGUUGACUGCGAGACCGACGGGUCGAGCAGGUACGAAAGUAGGAGUUAGUGAUCCGGUGGUAUGUGAGUGGAAAUGCCAUCGCUCAACGGAUAAAAGCUACCCUGGGGAUAACAGGCUGAUCUCCCCCAAGCGUCCACAGCGACGGGGAGGUUUGGCACCUCGAUGUCGGCUCGUCGCAUCCUGGGGCUGUAUUCGGUCCCAAGGGUUUGGCUGUUCGCCAAUUAAAGCGGCACGCGAGCUGGGUUCAGAACGUCGUGAGACAGUUC